rnacentral:tRNA from 1 species
GGAGAGGUGGCUGAGUGGUCUAAGGCACCGGAUUGCUAAUCCGGCGUAGGAUGAAUUUUCUACCGGGGGUUCAAAUCCCCCCCUCUCCGCCA